rnacentral:rRNA from 1 species
GACGAACGCUGGCGGCGUGCUUAACACAUGCAAGUCGAACGGAAAGGCCCUGCUUGCAGGGUACUCGAGUGGCGAACGGGUGAGUAACACGUGGGUGAUCUGCCCUGCACUUCGGGAUAAGCUUGGGAAACUGGGUCUAAUACCGGAUAGGAGCCAUCUUUAGUGUGGUGGUUGGAAAGUUUUUUCGGUGUAGGAUGAGCUCGCGGCCUAUCAGCUUGUUGGUGGGGUAAUGGCCUACCAAGGCGGCGACGGGUAGCCGGCCUGAGGGGGUGUACGGCCACAUUGGGACUGAGAUACGGCCCAGACUCCUACGGGAGGCAGCAGUGGGGAAUAUAGCACAAUGGGCGCAAGCCUGAUGCAGCGACGCCGCGUGGGGGAUGAAGGCCUUCGGGUUGUAAACUCCUUUCGCUAGGGACGAAGCUUUUUUGUGACGGUACCUAGAUAAGAAGCACCGGCUAACUACGUG